CCUACGGGAGGCAGCAGUGGGGAAUUUUGCGCAAUGCUCGUAAGAGUGACGCAGCGACGCCGCGUGAAUGACGAAGGCCUUCGGGUCGUAAAGCUCUUUCGACAGGGAAGAAAAUGCCUAUAAGUAACUGUGUAUGUAUUGACGGUACCUGUAUAAGCAGCCCCGACUAACUCCGUGCCAGCAGCCGCGGUAAUACGGAGGGGGCGAGCGUUGUUCGGAGUGACUGGGCGUAAAGAGCACGUAGGCGGUGUUGUAAGUCAUUAGUCAAAGACUAGAGCGCAACUUUAGUAAGGCUAGUGAUACUAUAAUACUAGAGUAUCAGAGAGGAUGGCAGAAUUCCUGGUGUAGCGGUGAAAUGCGUAGAUAUCAGGAGGAAUACCGUUAGCGAAGGCGGCAAUCUGGCUGGAAACUGACGCUGAGGUGCGAAAGCGUGGGUAGCAAACAGGAUUAGAUACCCCUGUAGUC
rnacentral:rRNA from 1 species